rnacentral:rRNA from 1 species
AGUGAACGCUGGCGGUAGGCCUAACACAUGCAAGUCGAACGGCAGCACAGUAAGAGCUUGCUCUUACGGGUGGCGAGUGGCGGACGGGUGAGGAAUACAUCGGAAUCUACUUUUUCGUGGGGGAUAACGUAGGGAAACUUACGCUAAUACCGCAUACGACCUCCGGGUGAAAGCAGUGGAUCUUCGGACCUUGCGCGAUUGAAUGAGCCGAUGUCGGAUUAGCUAGUUGGCGGGGUAAAGGCCCACCAAGGCGACGAUCCGUAGCUGGUCUGAGAGGAUGAUCAGCCACACUGGAACUGAGACACGGUCCAGACUCCUACGGGAGGCAGCAGUGGGGAAUAUUGGACAAUGGGCGCAAGCCUGAUCCAGCCAUACCGCGUGGGUGAAGAAGGCCUUCGGGUUGUAAAGCCCUUUUGUUGGGAAAGAAAAGCAGCAGGUUAAUACCCCGCUGUUCUGACGGUACCCAAAGAAUAAGCACCGGCUAACUUCGUG